rnacentral:misc_RNA from 1 species
GAUGAAGAACGUAGCGAAAUGCGAUAAGUAAUGUGAAUUGCAGAAUUCAGUGAAUCAUCGAAUCUUUGAACGCACAUUGCGCCCGUCAGUAUUCUGGCGGGCAUGCCUGUUCGGGCGUCAUUACGCCCCUCAAGUCCCCUGUGGACUUGGUGUUGGGGAUCGGCGAGGCUGGUUUUCCAGCACAGCCGUCCCUUAAAUUAAUUGGCGGUCUCGCCGUGGCCCUCCUCUGCGCAGUAGUAAAACACUCGCAACAGGAGCCCGGCGCGGUCCACUGCCGUAAAACCCCCCAACUUUUUAUAGUUGACCUCGAAUCAGGUAGGACUACCCGCUGAACUUAAGCAUAUCAAUAAGCGGAGGA